rnacentral:misc_RNA from 1 species
ACAAACUUGGUCAUUUAGAGGAAGUAAAAGUCGUAACAAGGUUUCCGUAGGUGAACCUGCGGAAGGAUCAUCAUUGAAUAGAACUUUUCAAGCUUUUGAAGGGGGGGAGGAGGAGGGGGUGAGAGUUCUCACUCACUCUUUCUUUCCUUCUUCUGGCUUGCAAACAACUUUGAUACCCAAAAAGAAAGAUUCUUUCCUGCUUGUCUCUUCAGUCUUUUUGCAGUUCCAGCUUAUUUGUUUGGGUUGGUUGCUGUGAGAGGCGAGAGAGAAAAAGUGGAAAGAAGGGGGAAACCCCAGAAUAACACAUGUAAUUGCCUGAUAAGAAAGAGUUUGGUUUUGGGAAUAGAAAAUGAAACAACUUUCAACAACGGAUCUCUUGGCUCUCACAUCGAUGAAGAACGCAGC